rnacentral:rRNA from 1 species
UCUCAGUACCCCGAGGAAAAGAAAUCAACCGAGAUUCCCCCAGUAGCGGCGAGCGAACGGGGAGCAGCCCAGAGUCAACAUCAAUAUUUACCGCAGGAGAAGGGUCUGGAAAGGCCGGCAAUAAAGGGUGAUAGCCCCGUAUCUGAAACGGUAAGUGUUGUGAACUCGAAGAGUAGGGCGGGACACGUGUUAUCCUGUCUGAAUAUGGGGGGACCAUCCUCCAAGGCUAAAUACUCCUGACUGACCGAUAGUGAACCAGUACCGUGAGGGAAAGGCGAAAAGAACCCCGGCGAGGGGAGUGAAAUAGAACCUGAAACCGUGUACGUACAAGCAGUGGGAGCACCCGAAAGGGUGUGACUGCGUACCUUUUGUAUAAUGGGUCAGCGACUUAUAUUCUGUAGCAAGGUUAACCGCAUAGGGGAGCCGUAGGGAAACCGAGUCUUAACUGGGCGUUAAGUUGCAGGGUAUAGACCCGAAACCCGGUGAUCUAGCCAUGGGCAGGUUGAAGGUUGGGUAACACUAACUGGAGGAC